GUGGGGAAUAUUGGUCAAUGGGCGCAAGCCUGAACCAGCCAUGCCGCGUGCAGGAAGACGGUCCUAUGGAUUGUAAACUGCUUUUAUUUGGGAAUAAACUCCGGUACGUGUACCGGCCUGAAGGUACCAAAUGAAUAAGCACCGGCUAACUCCGUGCCAGCAGCCGCGGUAAUACGGAGGGUGCAAGCGUUAUCCGGAAUCAUUGGGUUUAAAGGGUCCGCAGGCGGUCUUAUAAGUCAGUGGUGAAAGCCUACAGCUCAACUGUAGAACUGCCAUUGAUACUGUAGGACUUGAAUUCGAUCGAAGUGGGCGGAAUGUGACAUGUAGCGGUGAAAUGCUUAGAUAUGUCACAGAACACCGAUAGCGAAGGCAGCUCACUAGGUCUGGAUUGACGCUCAGGGACGAAAGCGUGGGGAGCAAACAGGAUUAGAUACCCGAGUAGUCC
rnacentral:rRNA from 1 species